UUCCCGCCAUAGCCGUACAUAUUCCUAGAAAGUCAUUAUAUAUAUAUAUAUAUAUAUAUAUAUAUAUAUAUAUAUAUAUAUAUAUAUAUAUAUAUAUAUAUAUAUAUAUAUAUAAUGACUUUCUAGGAAUAUGUACGGCUAUGGCGGGAA
rnacentral:miRNA from 1 species